UACGGGGGGGGCAAGCGUUGUUCGGAAUUACUGGGCGUAAAGGGUUCGUAGGUGGCUUGCUAAGUCAGACGUGAAAUCCCUCAGCUUAACUGGGGAACUGCGUCUGAUACUGGCGAGCUUGAGUGCAGGAGAGGAACGCGGAAUUCCAGGUGUAGCGGUGAAAUGCGUAGAUAUCCGGAGGAACACCGGUGGCGAAGGCGGCUUCCUGGACCGACACUGACGCUGAGGCGCGAAAGCUAGGGGAGCAAACGGG
rnacentral:rRNA from 1 species